CUGGCGGCGUGCCUAAUACAUGCAAGUCGAGCGGACAGAUGGGAGCUUGCUCCCUGAUGUUAGCGGCGGACGGGUGAGUAACACGUGGGUAACCUGCCUGUAAGACUGGGAUAACUCCGGGAAACCGGGGCUAAUACCGGAUGGUUGUUUGAACCGCAUGGUUCAAACAUAAAAGGUGGCUUCGGCUACCACUUACAGAUGGACCCGCGGCGCAUUAGCUAGUUGGUGAGGUAACGGCUCACCAAGGCRACGAUGCGUAGCCGACCUGAGAGGGUGAUCGGCCACACUGGGACUGAGACACGGCCCAGACUCCUACGGGAGGCAGCAGUAGGGAAUCUUCCGCAAUGGACGAAAGUCUGACGGAGCAACGCCGCGUGAGUGAUGAAGGUUUUCGGAUCGUAAAGCUCUGUUGUUAGGGAAGAACAAGUACCGUUCGAAUAGGGCGGUACCUUGACGGUACCUAACCAGAAAGCCACGGCUAACUACGUGCCAGCAGCCGCGGUAAUACGUAGGUGGCAAGCGUUGUCCGGAAUUAUUGGGCGUAAAGGGCUCGCAGGCGGUUUCUUAAGUCUGAUGUGAAAGCCCCCGGCUCAACCGGGGAGGGUCAUUGGAAACUGGGGAACUUGAGUGCAGAAGAGGAGAGUGGAAUUCCACGUGUAGCGGUGAAAUGCGUAGAGAUGUGGAGGAACACCAGUGGCGAAGGCGACUCUCUGGUCUGUAACUGACGCUGAGGAGCGAAAGCGUGGG
rnacentral:rRNA from 1 species